CUUUGUGUACCUACCUCUGUUGCUUUGCGCGGGCCGCGGUUCUCCGCGGCCGGCCCCUUGACCGGGGCUGGCCUGCGCCCGCCAGAGGACCACAAAACUCCAGUCAGUGAACUUUGCUGUCUGAUUUAAAUUCAAUAAACUAAAACUUUCAACAACGGAUCUCUUGGUUCUGGCAUCGAUGAAGAACGCAGCGAAAUGCGAUAAGUAAUGUGAAUUGCAGAAUUCAGUGAAUCAUCGAAUCUUUGAACGCACAUUGCGCCCUUUGGUAUUCCGAAGGGCAUGCCUGUUCGAGCGUCAUUACACCCCUCAAGCUCUGCUUGGUGUUGGGCGGCGUCCUCCCGGACGCGCCUCAAAGACCUCGGCGGUGGCGUCUUGCCUCAAGCGUAGUAGAAAACACCUCGCUUUGGAGGACGGGACGACCGCUCGCCGGACGAACCUUUGAAUUCAUUUUCCUAGGUUGACCUCGGAUCAG
rnacentral:rRNA from 1 species